GUGUUUAAGGAAAAAAUUGGACGUGGCACUCCAGUGCUGUAGUCUAGCUGACAUGGUCGUGGCCGAUGAUGGGCUGAAACAGGACGAUCCCAGAUGUCUUUCUCCGCCAAGUUCACUCCGUGUUCCUCUGGGUUCGUGCCGCCUUCGCUGAGAGCGGCGCGGCGGCGCUUGGCCCUGCCAGGCCGCCGUCGGGGGCGGGCCCGCGUCGCAGCCAUGGCGGCGCCCAUCGUUCCGGAGAGCGACAGCAUCCGCAGGGCCGUGUCGCUGCUCAACGCCGUGGACCCGGGCCGGUUUCCGCGGCUCCUCUCCCGCCUUCUCCAAAAGCUGCACCUGAAGGCUGAAAGUACCUUCAGUGAAGAGGAGGAAGAAAAACUUCAAAUAGCUUUUUCACUGGAAAAACAGGAUCUUCAUCUGGUUCUUGAAACUAUAUCAUUCAUUUUGGAACAGGCAGUCUACCACAAUUUGAAGCCUGCUUCACUGCAACAGCAGCUCCAAAGCAUUCACCUGGAUCAAGACAAAGCUGAAGCAUUUGCUAGUGCAUGGGCGGCUGCAGGUCAAGAGACAAUUGAAAAGUUCAGGCAGAGGGUUUUGACACCUCAGAAGCUUGAAACAGUUGGAUGGCAGCUUAAUCUUCAAAUGGCUGAGUCCAUGCAAGCAAAGCUGAAGUCUCCUCAAGCUGUGCUAGAGCUGGGAGUGAGCAAUGAAGAUUCAAAGCUUGAAGAAAAGGAGUACUACAAAGAAAGAGUGGAAUUGAUACGUGUUUUACUUCAGGCUAAGUAUUGAACCAUGAUCUAUGUAGUUGAUUGCAAGUUGAACUCUACCACAGGUAGUGAUGUUGGUCUUGCUGAAGAAGGACAUUAUGAAUUUUUUUCUGGUCAUGGGCUUGUGCUAAGUUAUUGAACAAUUGCUUUGGGUAGAAUAGCAGUAGAUCAGGGCACUUUGCUGGGUGUUUGUGUUGUUUGUAACAAAUUGUCAUUUUGCCUGUGCCAUAACUUCAUCUGAAAGCAAUAUAUUUUAUUUAAGCUGAGUAUUGAAGUGGUGUACAUAACGUACAUAUUCGGGUACCUUGAGGAAAGCACUGAGACUUGAAAAUUGCAGUGGAUAUGUAGCCAGUUUCAGAACAUUUUGUUGGAGUGUUUCAAAUAUAAGUUUUGGACAGAAAAAAUUGCACUUAGAAAAGAGAACAAAAAAAGGCAGUCUGUUGUAAGGCUGUCAUCUUGGGGUGCAGAUACAUAUUUUUAGGCAGCUGGUCUGAGAUUGUCCUGUAUAUAGAUAGCAACCAGUAGGUAGGGGAUAUUAAUAACUUGGACAGUUUUAACAGAUACUGUGAUCAGAUAAAGCUGUCUUGCGAUGGUAUUACACAGUUUUUAUGUCACUGAGAAAUUGAAGCACAUGGAAGAAACCACCAGAGGGUGAAUAUCACAGCUCCUGAUACCCUACAGAUCCAUACUGUGAUUUAAGUAAUUGUAAGUGCCUAGUUGGAUUACCAUAGGACAGAGCCCACAUAUAGCCUGUAUUUUUAACCUUGUGGUUCUUCAUCUUUUGUAAAUACUAAUCUUUUUAGUUGUAUUAUCUUGUAUUGGUAUUUUCAUGCUUUCUACCCACAGAUUCCAGAUGUGCUUUAGGAAUUUAGGAAACAAGCUACACAAAGAGUGAUUAGAUUUUCAAUGUCACAUUUGAUUUAGAAGUUUGCUAUAUUAUUUUAGCCAUUUUCCUUAAUCAUCAUCUCUUUUCAAAGACUGUACCUUUAAAAUAAAAUCCCUCUUCUUGCUCUGUUUCAAAACUGGUGGACAAAUGAUACAAUAGGAAAAUCACAUGUUGUCUUUUUGUAGCUCUUACACUAACAGGAAUGUCUUCCUCAGAUUAGCAGCAGAAGGAAAAAUGAUGAUGAAAAAGAAAACAACUGAUGGUGUUACUUUUGAAAGAACCUGAAGAAGGUGUUUGUAGAAUUUAGCCAUCAGGAGCUGUUUGAGUUUUACAACAAGCUCGAAACUAUACAAGCACAGCUGGAUUCCCUUAUGUGAUGUUUUUGAAGACUUAUUUCUCCAUCAUGCUCCUGCCACCUCAUUAUUUUGAAUUGAAGAUAGAUUGCCAAGCUGCAUUUCCUGAAGGAUUCAGCGGGUUGCUUCUUGUAAAAUUAUAUGGCUUAUCUGCUUUUCAGACCAGUACCAUUAGCCAAGAGUCUUUGUCGAGGGUCUGAAGAUUCUAAUGGACUUUCUCUUGUUUGCUUAGCAGCUGUGAAAAAUGUCUUCUUUACUUACAGUGGGGAAACACCCUGUCCGCACCCUCCCCCUGCCACCAAAGAAUGCUACUCUGCUUCAGAAAUUUUUUUUUUCAUUCUAUUAUGCGUGUUACUUGAUUCUGGUAGAAAUUUGCAUGUUAGUGAGAGACCAGGAAAAAACCCCUUUUUUGUGGACAUAAAUGUAGAAGUUAUAAGAAAAUACACAGCUAAUAAAAUCUCUAUCAUUUUAAAAUAAUGUUCACACAAUUGAUAAUGCUUCUUGCAGAUUUAAAAUAAAAUAAGUCAAAAUAAAUUCAGAAUUUUUAAAGUUUAUUUGGGGGCUAGUCAAACUUAAUUUUGCUAUCUUUAUUUUAUCUUAGUUUGAAAUUAUCAACAAUGUCUCUGAUUUCAGUGUUUCCUCUUGGCACUGAAAAUAAACAUGGCUUCUUAGCACUGCAUGCCCACUAAAGAAUCUAAGAAGUGUGUUGUAUAACUGAGGGGAGAAAUCUCAGAGUAUAAAAGAAAAAAAUACUGAAAUGAUCUGACAGAUUUCUGAAAGCUAUGUUGGUCCUUCCUCAUACUCUUUUUACCACCAGCAUUUUUACAUUGAACAGGAAAAACUGAAGUAUAGUGGUUAAAGGCCAACUUAGUCAUACUUUCACCCAUUAGUUCCAGAUGAUUCAUGAGAAGCAGGAGAAAGGUGAAAAUCAUCUUAGUACUUGUUCGUUGAUGUUUGUUGACAGGCAAUUUCUUCCUGCACGGUAUACGACUCUGGACUCUGGGCUUAUGGAAGGUGAGAGGAAAUUUAUCUGUUCAGAGAUUUAAGAACUUUUUCUUCCUGAUGCCUACAUCAGGGAUGGUUAAUACCCAACGGGACAGUUUCCUUCUGUAGCUUGUUUGCUUAUGACUGUGGAUAUGAGUAUUACCAAAAUGCAUGUUUUGAAUAGUUUAGGUCCUCCUGUGCCAGAUUUCCCCCUUUGUUGCUUUUUUGUGCCUUUUUGUUGCUUUGUUAUUAGGGAUUGUGCUGUCAACUCUAUAAUACUGUGAGGUUUGCACAAGUUGUCCAAGCUGAAAAUUAUUAGACUCAGAUGAUAACAGCCUAUGUAUGAGUAAAGGGCACUGGAGAGAAAACACACACUUACCAUAGUACAUAGCUCUUUAGGGAAGUGCCAAAUGAUACUCUACUGCUCUAGGACAGUAACGCUGUUACUGUAAAAGAAGAAGAAAGUCACCUGGAAGAAGAAAUGAGUCACCAUUGCCUGGCAGAAUAUCCUCAGCUAUCCACCAUAGCUUGUGAGGCUGGCUGCCAAAAUCAUGUCUUGUCAUAAGCCCCUGCCACACGUGCUGUAUUGUCUGGAGAUACAGAUGUCACCUCUACAGUCUGGCUGUUCAACAAGAGCUUGGCAGCUUGCUCAUCUCACUCUGCAUGGACUGGUGUGGGUCUGCAGGUGGACACAUGCCUACCAUUCCCUCUGCUUGCUGACAGUAGCAGUGCUUUGUAGUUAGUGCAGCUGAGGGAAUCCCCUUCUGCAUGAUGUGUAUUCUCUACCAGUCCUGUGGCACAGUAUGCUUUGUGCAAGAACACUGCCCUUCAGACUUUUCAUGGAGUUUUCAGAGCUUAUGUUCUGGAAGUCAGGUCUGAAGUGAGUUCAGACCUUCUUGUGUAGAUACAGGGCAUGCUAAGGCAGUUGUGUGAGGAAUUUAACUUUGUGAAUGUAGGCAGUGAUUGAUGAAUCCUGGAGGAGGAGGUGAAGGCUGGACUAGUUUGGAGAGCAAGAGCCAUGGACAGAUCAGCAAGCACAUCUUAGAAAAAGAAGUCAGAGUCGGUAGAAGUGGGGCACAAGAGAAACGAAGGAGAGGGUAGAGAAAUAGAUAUUCCCAAGGAUGGAAUUUGGGUGUUGGAAAAUACCAGGAAGAGAGCAGAAACACUGGAAAAGAUGACAAAAGUGUAUAUACAAAGAAAAUAUGAAGCAGAGGAGGAGAUAACCUUAUAGAAGAGUGAGAGUAGGGGAAUCAGAGUAAACCCAAAUUAGCAAUGGAAACUAGCCAGUUGUAUAACUGCAUCUAGUAUUUCAAACUAACCCAUAAGUGCCAACCUUGGUGCAAAGUUGACCAAGAUCAAAAUAUGGGAUAAUGAAAUAUACAUUUUAAAUGUAGCUUUAAUAGUAAAUAUUUUAAAAAAUUAUAAAAUUAUAUUGAAAGGGAAGAAAAAGCCUAAGACUGCAAUAAUUUUGUAAAAUACAUUUUAUGUUUAUCCUUGCUUGCAAAUGACUGAAAAUAUUUACAGUUUCUUUACAGUGGCUGCCUUUUAGUUUUUUACUAACUGUACUGAAUUCUUAGUGUCAAAAGCUUUAUUGUAAGAAGUACAUUGGUUACCUUUAGUCAAGGACUGCUGAGAAAUAAACAUUUAGUUUAAAAAGA